AACCGAGAUUCCCCCAGUAGCGGCGAGCGAACGGGGAGCAGCCCAGAGCCUGAAUCAGCAUGUGUGUUAGUGGAAGCGUCUGGAAAGUCGCAGGGUACAGGGUGAUACUCCCGUACACAAAAGCACAUAUGCUGUGAGCUCGAUGAGUAAGGCGGGACACGUGGUAUCCUGUCUGAAUAUGGGGGGACCAUCCUCCAAGGCUAAAUACUCCUGACUGACCGAUAGUGAACCAGUACCGUGAGGGAAAGGCGAAAAG
rnacentral:rRNA from 1 species